AAAAAGAUCUUUCCCUUCAGAUCCGGGCGCGUGGGUUCGGCGCCAGCCGGGCAGCCCCCAGCUCCGGUACCGAACGCAGCAGCCGAGGGCCGCGCUCCCUCUCGCGGUGCGCGCAGGGAAUGCCCCGAAGCGGAGCGCGGAACGAGCAGCGCUUCGCUGCCGAGCCCUCGGACAGAGCAUCGGGGAUGCAGCGCUGCGCUGCUUCUGGGGAUGUCUUGCUUCAUGCGGAUGUGUGCUUUCCUCGCAUUGAAAAGCGCUGUGCGCGUUUGUAAGCCUGUAACUUCGAGGAAAGUUCAUAAGGGACAAAAUCACACCAAGUGUUCUUUUCCCAGGUUCCCAGGUUUGCAGAAACACAUGGAGCUCAGACGCCCCAGAUGCAGCCAUCCUGCUGGGAAUGCCGUGUUGUGUUUCACACGGUUCUGCACUGCACUCCCACGUUCAGGUUUUGCCCCUGUCACGUCAGACAGCUGCCCCCCAGCCCUCACUUGUGCCAGUCCCCCACCUGCAGCAGGCCUUCCUGCUCAGCCACACGCUCAGCAGCAGGAGACGAGGAGGGACUGCGAUGUUUGAAUGGAAUCACUUUGGUUUCCUACGUGGGAUAAUUGCCUUCCUUUGAAAUCCAUUCAUAUCCAUUUCUGUUACAGUGUUCCCAAAGCAGUGAGAAGUUGGCAUAUGAGAUGGAAUCCCAACACCACAUAAGUGCGUGGAGGUGUCCUCGAACUACUCUGGUGUUGGCCAACCUAUGUCCUGAAGUCAUAUUUCAUCUGAUUACUCCGUUAAUUAAUCUGUCAUGUUCUGUUACAAACUCCACAAUCUGAUGCUUCUCAUGUUCCCUGUUCCAGUCUCCAGGGUCUGAAGCUGAAAGAUGAAGCUUGGAUUGGAGCUUCAGCCUUUCUGCACGUUCCCAAAAGGGGGAGAUAAUUUCAGUCCAGUAAAUGUAAUUCAUGCCAAACAUGCUUGUAGCUCGAGGUUUCAUCAAUUAUCUAGGAUCUGAUAAAAAGAUAAUUGAAUUAUCUCGAGGCCUUUGACAGAUUUUGGAUUAGUUUGUUGGAAAAGGAGCCGCUGCUUGAAAAUUAAUUGCAAAAUAAAAGGUCAUCUUCA